rnacentral:rRNA from 1 species
UUGAGAGUUUGAUCCUGGCUCAGAACGAACGCUGGCGGCGCGCUUAACACAUGCAAGUCGAACGGGAUUAUUAUGAAGUAGCAAUACGGAUUAAUAAUUUAGUGGCGAACGGGUGAGUAAUGCAUAGGCAACCUGCCCUUAGGACUGGGAUACUCCCGAGAAAUCGGGCACAAUACCGGAUAAGAUUCCGAGGUGAAAUUCCUUGGGAUAAAAGCUUCGAGCAAUCGCGGUACCUAAGGAGGGGCCUGUGUCCUAUCAGCUUGUUGGUGAGGUAAUGGCUCACCAAGGCUAAGACGGGUAGCCGGACUGAGAGGUUGAUCGGCCACACUGGAACUGAGACACGGUCCAGACUCCUACGGGAGGCAGCAGUGGGGAAUUUUGCGCAAUGGGCGAAAGCCUGACGCAGCGACGCCGC